rfam:Erinaceus europaeus unplaced genomic scaffold scaffold00577, whole genome shotgun sequence
AUAUAACGCCAUACCACCCUGAACAUGCCUGAUCUUGUCUGAUCUCGGAAGUUAAGCAGGGUCGGGCCUGGUUAGUACUCGGAUGGGAGAAACAUAACACAGAAGCAGGACAAUGAUAAUUC